GUUGUCUCUAUGCCAAGGAUCAGCCUGAGGUAUAAACUUAUGGUCUUCACAGAUGUUUUCUGAGCCUGAACCUUUCCCUGGGUGUGUGGUCACUCCCUAAUUUUACCUAUAUAUGCAGUUAUUCUUGAAUAUUUUAUCCUUUAAUGUCUGGCUCCCAAAAGGGGAAAAAGAGAAAAAUUGAGGGAGGGUGAAAAAAGGGCACCAUCCCUUUAAACUUUCUGGAAGUUGCUUCAGCUUAGGGUGAGGAGCUUGCUACAAUGGGGGAAGGUACAGCAGUAGCUGCCAGCCUCUUUGUCUCUGUGCUGCAAUCAGACAUUAGAGAACAGAGCCCCAAUGUGUGUGUGUGUGUGUGUGUGUGUGUGUGUGUGUGUGUGUGUGUGUGUGUGUGUUUUGAGAUGGAGUCUUUCUCUGUCACCCAGGCUAGAGUGCAGUGGCAUGAUCUCAGCUCACUGCAGCCUCCGCCUCCUGGGUCAAGUGAUUCUUGUGCCCCAGCCUCCUGAGUGGCUGGGAUUAUAGGUGCCUGCCACCACACCUGACUAAUUUUAGUAGAGACAGAGUUUUACCAUGUGGGCCUGGCUGGUCUUGAACUCCUGACCUCAAGUAAUCCACCCACCUCGGUCUCCCAAAGUGCUAGGAUUACAGGCAUGAGCUACUGCACCUGGCCCAGACCCCCAGUGUUUGGAGACAGCAUUCUUUUUGCCCAUUCUGGAUCCUGAAAGAUGUGUGCAGCUUACUGUAGGAACACAAGCUGACUGCCUUGGGGGUAGUGUUGGGUAGCUGCUAUUGUGCUAAGGGCCGAAAUUGACUGAAAUUACCUACAAUUUACCAUCUGGGCCUUCCUCUGGAAGUUGCAAGCCUUCAGUAGGCUCCAGAGUUCUGAAAUAUUUACAUCUGACAGAUCCUGCCCAUGCAGUUGUUGUGUAGAUUCCAGGUGCUUCUCAUUCCACCAUCUUCCCAGGAUACCCUCUGACCUUCUGGAUUUUGAAUUCAGUCAAGCUGUUCUCUAACAGCUGGGGUGAAAGCCAACAAAGAUCCUGCUAAGAAAGCUCCCUGGAAAAAAAAUGUUCAAAAGUAACACAAAUAUCAAACUGGAAAGAAAUUGAUUUAGGAACCGAACCCAGGUUGUCAUGGUGAAAAAAGGAGCAGAACCUUAGCUACCGAACUGCAGCCUGGGGUAUGAGGUGACUACCAUCACUUUUUUAGUUUGGUUUGGCUAGCAAAGGUGGCCUUGUUAUACAAAUAAAGCCACUCAGGUAGUCAAAACCUUUAUUUUCUGUUUUUUUUCUCUCUCUUUUUUUUUCUUUUUGAGAAGGAGUCUUGCUCUGUCACCCAGGCUGGAAUGCAGUGGCGCAAUCACGGCUCACUGCAAGCUCUGCCUCCCAGGUUCAUGCCAUUCUCCUGCCUCAGCCUCCCAAGUAGCUGGGACUACAGGCACCCGCCACCACGCCUGGCUAAUUUUUUGUAUUUUCAGUAGAGACGACGUUUCACCGUGUUAGCCAGGAUGGUCUCGAUCUCCUGACCUCAUGAUCCACCUGCCUCGGCCUCCCAAAGUGUUGGGAUUACAGGCAUGAGCCACCGUGCCUGGCCCUAUGCCUGGCUAAUUUUUAAAAAUUUUUUGUAGAAGCAGGGUUUCGCCGUGCUCCCCAGGUUGGUCUCAAACUCCUGAGCUCAAGUGCUCCAACCACCUUGGUCUCCCAAAGUGGUGGGAUUACAGGUGUCAACCACUGCACCUAGCCUCUAAAUCCAUAUAAAUCAAUUAUUCACGCACUGAGCAGAAUAUUCAGGAUUUUUUUUCUUAUAAUAUAAAUGAUGUGGAAAACUGGAGAACCAAAGAAGAACACCAAGACUAUCUAAAAGUGUUAAAUUUUUCAUUAGAAAGAAAAUGACUUCAUGACAGUUCUUAAGACAAUGAUAGAACUUGGGGAAAUAUGUAUUCCUUGAUGUUUCUAUGCAUUUGCAAUAAUAAACAAUGAAAAUAUGGUUAAAUUUUAGAAAGAGAUAGGCCUGUGGUAUUGUCACAAGGGUAUACAAAUACUCAGAAUGACUGCUGAGGCAGUGCUCUCCAUUGGUGGUGACCUUCAGAAGAGACCUGUGUUUCCACAUGGCCUAGACACCUGGAAGGCAGAGAUCCUAACAUUCCAUGACACCCCCACCUUCUAAUUCUGUUAUUGUGACUCCAGACCAUUACCUGGCACCGGGUCUGAUUUCUGGCAUUCCUAUCAGAGCCUGAGUCACAGACAGUACCUUAGACUCUAAGCUUAGGCACCUUGUGCCUUGUUUUUGUGGCUAAGGAUUCUCAGAGUUGUAGGAUGCUGACAAAGUUUAUCCCAAAGGUAAUUUAUGAAUCAGAUCUGCUUUCUUUUGACUUGUUUAAACCCUUCAUUUAAUGUAAAGAAACUUUAUUGAGGUAUAAUUUACAUACUAUAAAAUUUACCCAUUAUAAUUGUACAGUUCAAUAAUUUUUAGUAAUUUACCCAAGUAGUGCAACCAUUACCACAAUCCAUGCAUUUGUUUUUAAUUUAUUAAUUGUCUGGGUUUAUUCUCCCUAGGCUCUGAUUGUACUUUCUCCACAAGCUUCAGCAUGGCAGUAUCUCUCACCACUUGUUUUGGUCCAAGGGCAGAAAUGAGCAUCCUGGAAACCAAUCAGUACUUGCUCUCUGAACUGGAAAAGUGCAAAGAGAACUUCCGAGACCUCACAGAGAAAUUCCUGACAUCCAAAGCUACUGCCUACUCCCUGGCCAAUCACCUGCAGAAAUAUAUGUGGGCUUUUCUUUCCUCAUCUCUAAAACAGGGAGUAGUUGAGAGACUGAGGAAUAAAGAUAUGGAAAUCCCAGUGUAAAGCCUGGUACCGGGGAUACUUUUAUCCUUGAGAUAGACCCUGCCUCCUGCCCUGCAGGCAGUGACCACAGCAGCAUGGCCAGCCUUCCAUGAUGCAGGCAUGUCUGUCUUCUCUCAGAGUGUGAAGAGUGCAAAGACCUUAUAGAAUCUGUGCUGGAGGAGGAGCUGCAGUUUCAGGAGAGGGAGCUGACCAAAUUGCCAAGGCCAGCAGCAAGGCUCCGGAUACAUGAUCCCUUAAUUCAGGCUCAGGCUGAAGAACUGACCCACUUACGACAGAAGAUACAAGAAGGGAGAGGUGUCUGCUACCUUUUCACCCAGCAUGUGAAGAACACAGUCAAGUCUUUUGAGGGCCUUCUCAGGAACACUGGCAUUGCCUACUACCAGAGACAGAGAUUCUGUGAGCAAAUGGUACAAGGAAGCCAGCUAACAGAGAUCCUUGUCAGAAAACUUGCCACAGGUAAGUUGGCUACAGGCUCUGAAGACCCUUAGCUCCUCCCAAGUGCCCCAAAGUGGGGAGAAAAAAUGCAAAGUUAUCUCCAUUGUAGAUUUUAUUUUAGUUUUGACUAUGGUCCUUAAUCUGCAUUCUAUUGUUUUCUCUUUAGAGCACUCAGGUAAUCACUUUUCAUAUUCUAGUCUGCUCUCUAACCCGAGCUAGAGUGCAGUGACGCGAUCUUGGCUGACUGCAGUCUGUGCCUCCUGGGCUCAAGCAGUCAUCCCACCUCAGCCUCCCAAGUAGCUGGGACUACAGAAUCAACCCCAAUGCUCACUAACAAACUGAGAAGAAAAAAAAAGAAUUACCCCCAACAACAUCUGAGGAAGUAGAACAGGGACAGACUUGAAGGCACCUGGGCAGUCCUCUGGUUUUGGAGUAGAGGUAGGACAGGGCUAUUUGUCCUCUCAGAGACUGGAGCAGGUUCUGUGUGUGAGUAGCAAUGGGACAAACAGUCGUGGUCUGGCAACCAGCCUGUAGCAGGAAGGAAGGUUACAACGGGAGAAGUCCAAAGGGCAGCCAGGCAAGUAUUCUUUGAGCUGGGGAACAAAAGGCAUUUUAAACUUUUUGCUCUGCUUCAGGCAGCUGACGUCUGGUGAUGAUUCACCAUAUCAGGAACACCCUGUCCAGUGGGCUCAGGCAAGCCUGCCAGGCCACUUCUCUAAAGACACAACCUGAGGCCUCCUGCAAUAAUUCUCACAGAGCAUUCUGAACAUACAUAAAAUCACAAUGGUAAGAAAAUGAAGACAGGCAAAAGCCACUGGCUCCCAGGCACACUUUACUCCCAGUCAAAAGUGGACUGUAUACUUCCUCUUUGAUGUGAUGGUCCCUUUGGUUUUGGUGCCUCUUCCAUGAGCUUCAGAUCAGAACUAGCUAUGUGGUUCCAGGCUGCCCUGGUUUAAUCCCUUGUCUUGCCUACUUCACCUGGCUCAAGAGGGAAGUCCAGGAGGAAGAAAUGGAUGAAGUCCUGGAGGACUCACUAGAUGAACAGUAUUUGACUCAUUCCAGCUGCCAUGACUCCCACCAGCUUCCCAGCAGCAAUGCCUUCCUCUUUGAUGCACAGGAAGGCCCCUCGGCUGUGGAAAUAGCCAGUAAGUGCUCCUUUGAUAAGAAAAAUAAAGCUCCAUCAAUCUCUCAGUAGCUCCUACAUUCUACAUGCUCACCACCUCUGUCUAAACUGAGAGAUGUUAUUCUCUGCAGGCAGGCCCUAAACAUUCACUUUAAAAAAGUGAUUAGGCUGAACACAGCUCUGGGAUCAACUCUCAAGUACAGGUCCCUGGUGGGUCAGGUAAUUUGCUCUGUUCCUGUCCUCACCUCAGUCCCUCUGGUCCAGACGGGCAUCUGCAAGCCGGUAUACUCAAAGCAGGCCAGAAUGGAGAGAGUGAAGAGAUUAUGGCAGACUCUCUGCCACUACUGCCACACAUGUACAAAUCUGUUUAACAGAUCUUCUUCUUUAAAAUGGGACAUCUCAUCUUUCCUGAAAUAUAUAUAUUUUUUGAGACAGGGUCUCUUGUUCUGUCACCCAGGCUAGAGUGCAGUGGCAUGAUCUUGGCUCACCACAACCUAAAACCCAGGGUCAAAUGACCCUCCCACCUCAGCCUCCUGAGUAGCUGAGAACACAGAUGCAUGCCACUACUCCUGGCUAUUUUUUUUUGCCUUUUUGGUAGAGGUGGGUUCUUGCUUUUUUGCCCAGGCUGGCCUCAAACUCCUGAACUCAAGCAAUUCACCCACCCCUGCCUCCCAAAGUGCUGGGAUUACAGAUGUGAGCCACUGCACCCAGCCUUCCUGAAAUAUUCUUGGUAAUUAUAGUUCCUGAACAGUUUUCCCAAGCUGUUCUAGCCAUCCCAAGAAUGUUGGCAGGCUUGUCCAUAUGUUUGGAGGUGCAAUUAUAAUGGUUCCUGGGUUUCAAGCUCCAGUCUCCAUCUCCCCUCAGGUGCUUGCUUUCCCAUAAGGUUCCAUCUGACUACUGGAAUAUCAGGGGAUUUCCAUAAAGACAAGACUUUGAUCUUGGCAACCCUUUGGUAAAUAGCCAGGGUUCUCAAUCUUUGUGCAGCACCAAGGUAUUUUUAAGAUG
rnacentral:lncRNA from 10 species